AGAGAGAGAGAGAGGAAGAAGGAAGAAGGAAGUGUAAAAGUGGACAAAAUAAAACUCUCAGAUUGUAAAUGUGAGAGACAGACAAGUGAUUCAGAUUAAAAUGAUGAUGGAUUUAUUUCAUGGUGAUUUGUGUAAAUGAACUUGUUCAUACGCACUUGGAUGAGCAGCUGAUGGAGAGCAGUGGAGCAGCAUGACAGCAGUGAGAUACACACAGCCAACACCUUCAACAUCUUACAAACUUCAUCACCCAAAUCGUGUGACAUGAAAUUCAUUGUAAAUGACACAAACGAAGAAAAAGCUUUGCCAGUCAUGUACCGUGCUUUUAAAACCCCCCCCCUCCCCAGCCGACCGCCGGAAGGAGGAAAGUGUGUGUAAAAAAUCCCUCAGCAGGAAUCCCUCAGCAUCCAGGAACUCCUCCUCAUCUGCUGAUGAUUCUGGUCAGUGGGAUCACCACAUUUCCCAAAACAAAACAUAAAAGUUGAGUAAAGAAAUAACAGAAGGGUUUUUCACCGGAUGGGACACAAUUUCAUUCUAACUGGCAGAGUUAAAAAAAAAAUUUUUUUUUGAGGUUGUCAUUUACGGUUAAAAACAUUAAGACGGAUUAAUAGUUUCUAAAAAAAAAAAAAAAAAAAAAUAUAAAACAAAA